rnacentral:rRNA from 1 species
UACGUAGGGGGCAAGCGUUGUCCGGAUUUAUUGGGCGUAAAGCGCUCGCAGGUGGUUCGAUGCGUCGUGCGUGAAAGACCCCGGCUCAACUGGGGAGGGUCGUGCGAUACGGUCGAACUGGAGGCCAGUAGGGGGAUGCGGAAUUCCGGGUGUAGUGGUGGAAUGCGUAGAGAUCCGGAAGAACACCAGUGGCGAAGGCGGUCUGCUGGGCCGUGGGACAGCAAUGUCCUUAUAGCUGACACUGAGGCGCGACAGCGUGGGGAGCAAACAGG